GCAGAUUCUCCCUGUUCUUGGAAUGAAUGUCAAAAUCUCCUGUCCUUUGGUUUAGGGAUUUUAACUCUUUUUGGCUGCUAGUAUCAUUUACACUUUACAGCUUCCACCUAUUUUUAAAGGGCUGCCCACUUUCAGGGGGGGACAACACAACAAAGACAAGGAUAUGCCAGUACUGCUAAGGAGCCACUGAAAAGAGGCUUUCCAUGGCGUCCAAGGAUGAUUGCCUGCUGGUACAUCUGAGAUGCAUGAAACCAAUGGGGAAAAUCCUUUCACUCCAACAUGUAUGCAUAGGUUCAGUUUCUCUCAACUUUGCCAUGUAGCCAAAACAUAUACAACAAGGAAGGAUCAUCUACCAAAUGCCAGUAUGGGUAAAAUUAAACAGAAUCAUAUAAUUUCAGUUAAUUGGACACUUGUGAAUGAGACAUGAAUACAGAAUAACUGCAAAAUAUUUUAGAGGAAUAAUAAGAAAUUCUGCAAGUGAUGAUGCUACAAAACAGAAACUCAACCACAUGGUGCUUUGGUCCUAGAUGCUAGAUGGUCUUCUCCAUUACAGCUUUUGUUUUAAGGUCACUUCCAUGAUGCCUAUGGGCGACUUUGGCCGGUAAUGGUCAUCUGUGUCUACUUCUUCAAUUUCCUG